rnacentral:rRNA from 1 species
GACGAACGCUGGCGGCGUGCUUAACACAUGCAAGUCGAACGGUGAACCUCUUCGGAGGGGAUCAGUGGCGAACGGGUGAGUAACACGUGGGCAACCUGCCCCCGGCUCUGGGAUAACUCCAAGAAAUUGGGGCUAAUACCGGAUGUUCACCGCUUCCCGCAUGGGUGGUGGUGGAAAGGGUUUCCGGCUGGGGAUGGGCCCGCGGCCUAUCAGCUUGUUGGUGGGGUAGUGGCCUACCAAGGCGACGACGGGUAGCCGGCCUGAGAGGGUGACCGGCCACACGGGGACUGAGACACGGCCCAGACUCCUACGGGAGGCAGCGGUGGGGAAUAUUGCGCAAUGGGCGGAAGCCUGACGCAGCGACGCCGCGUGGGGGAUGACGGCCUUCGGGUUGUAAACCUCUUUCAGCAGGGACGAAGCGCAAGUGACGGUACCUGCAGAAGAAGCACCGGCCAACUACGUG